CACCGCGGUUAUACGAGAGGCCCAAGUUGACAGAUGCCGGCGUAAAACGUGGCUAGACUGAACCCCAACUAAAGCCAAACACCUUCAAAGCUGUGAUACGCAAACGAAGGCAGGAAAUACUACCACGAAAGUGGCUUUAUCCAAUUUGAACCCACGAAAGCUAGGGAA
rnacentral:rRNA from 2 species